CAGUCAGCCUCUAGGUGGCACCAGUCCAGUCAGCCUCUAGGUGACACCAGUCCAGUCAGCCUCUAGGUGGCACCAGUCCAGUCAGCCUCUAGGUGACACCAGUCCAGUCAGCCUCUAGGUGGCACCAGUCCAGUCAGCCUCUAGGUGACACCAGUCCAGUCAGCCUCUAGGUGACACCAGUCCAGUCAGCCUCUAGGUGACACCAGUCCAGUCAGCCUCUAGGUGACACCAGUCCAUUCAGCCUCUAGGUGACACCAGUCCAGUCAGCCUCUAGGUGGCACCAGUCCAGUCAGCCUCUAGGUGGCACCAGUCCAGUCAGCCUCUAGGUGGCACCAGUCCAGUCAGCCUCUAGGUGACACCAGUCCAGUCAGCCUCUAGGUGGCACCAGUCCAGUCAGCCUCUAGGUGGCACCAGUCCAUUCAGCCUAGGUGACACCAGUCCAUUCAGCCUCUAGGUGACACCAGUCCAUUCAGCCUCUAGGUGACACCAGUCCAUUCAGCCUCUAGGUGACACCAGUCCAUUCAGCCUCUAGGUGGCACCAGUCCAGUCAGCCUCUAGGUGGCACCAGUCCAUUCAGCCUCUAGGUGGCACCAGUCCAUUCAGCCUCUAGGUGGCACCAGUCCAUUCAGCCUAGGUGACACCAGUCCAUUCAGCCUCUAGGUGACACCAGUCCAGUCAGCCUAGGUGGCACCAGUCCAUUCAGCCUCUAGGUGGCACCAGUCCAGUCAGCCUCGAGGUGACACCAGUCCAUAUAGGCAAUAGGGUUCCAUAGGGCUCUGGUCUAAAGUAGUGCACUAUAUAGGGAAUAGGGUUCCAUAGGACUCUGUUCUAAAGUAGUGCACUAUAUAGGGAAUAGGGAGCCAUUUGAGACACUUAUGUCUUGACUCAAUCUUGAUCUUUCUUUAUACUCACCAGUGGCUCCAGCUCCUU